UGGGUGGUCUGGGAGGACAUGCUCAGUCUCACUGGCCAUCUCUCUAGAGCUCGACACAGACUAUUGCUGACUCAGUGUGACGGUGGUGUGUUUGUGUAGUGUGGGUGUCGGGGGGGGGGGGGGGGGGGNNNNNNNNNNNNNNNNUAAGGGCUGACACAUCCCUGGUCGUGGCUUUUGUGAGUCACUUGACCUGCUGCAACUUUGAUCCCUCCGAAUGUUAACUUGUGUCCUUAUUUUCUUAUCGUGAUAGUAAACGUGCAUCUCACAUUUUCAUUACUUUAGAAUUACGCCUCCGGUUCUUUCUUUUAAAGUGUGUCACUUUGUGAUCUGAGAUACAGCUUGCCUGUUUUAUUUUGCUGGGCAGUUUCAGAGUUUGUACUCAUAUCCCUCUGCAUGUGUGUGUUACCUAGACUCUGAAAUACAUUGGGAAUAAAGUGCGGCGACGGCGCGUGUGAGGAGGGCCCAAGAAUACCAAGAUGGAGGACGCUAGGAGCUUCCCUCAUCCUCCCUCAUGUACCUAGCUGAAGAAGAUAUCAGACCAGAUCAUCCCCAAGCAGCCCAGUUCGACAUAGUCAAAUGCAUGCGGAGGGACCAGAUCACCAACGGCAUGGUCAACGCCAUCUCCGCCACCUGUGGUCUGGUGAAGAACCUGGCCCUGAUGACCCACAUCACCACAGACAUGGAGGACGGCCCCAUCGUCAAGCUGGCCUUCAACCUGGGAGUGGUGACCACACACAGGCACACGGGCACACAGGCACACAGGUAA
rnacentral:lncRNA from 13 species